AGGUAUAUGUCACCAAAGAUGGGCAGGAGUUGACAGGCCGAGCUGCUUAUAGGCAUUAUCGGAGGGAAAGUGGAUCAGGAUUCAAAAAAUCAAAGAAGGGAACCAGUGCCAAGAAGAAAACGAACUGAAUCUUAGUGUAAAGCCGUUGGUUCCUGUCUGUCUUUCCCACAUCAUGCACAUUAGUCAUAGAUCUCAUGGCAAGAUUUUGGUUCAAUUACCACCGGCUUCUUUUUAUGUGUUGAGGAAAUUGGCAAACAGCUAGUUAACACGCGCGGAAUCUGAUUCGGGGCUCUUGUUGCAUGGUGAAUUGACCGAGAUAAAAUUCACACAAACAAUUCCCUGUCAUCUAGGGCCAUUUGAUGUCGACCGAAUUCCCUAUGCCGAGUUCUUCUAGAGCUACCCAAGUGGUUCUGUAGAUUCUAGAGUUGUGGUCCUACUGGUCAACAGUGCCCAACAAAGAUGGACCAAGGCCCUAGAUUGUCUGAAAUUUCUUCUCAUGCAUGUAUAUUUCCAGAUGUGGACGUCUGGGAUGUUGAAUUUUCCUGAUAAUCAUGAAUGUUCUUUGCAGUUUCAA